rnacentral:snoRNA from 1 species
AGUAUCUGACAUGCUUGUAAGUAAUCAGUACAUUUGAACUGGUGGACAAAGAUAUAAGACAGGUGCAAAAGUAAAUCCUCUCUGUAACCCAGAACUCACUGCUCAGUGUGAGUCUUGAUAUAUGUAUGAAGGAAUAUA